CCUACGGGAGGCAGCAGUGAGGAAUAUUGGUCAAUGGACGAGAGUCUGAACCAGCCAAGUAGCGUGAAGGAUGACUGCCCUAUGGGUUGUAAACUUCUUUUAUAUGGGAAUAAAAUGUUCCACGUGUGGGAUUUUGUAUGUACCAUAUGAAUAAGGAUCGGCUAACUCCGUGCCAGCAGCCGCGGUAAUACGGAGGAUCCGAGCGUUAUCCGGAUUUAUUGGGUUUAAAGGGAGCGUAGGUGGAUUGUUAAGUCAGUUGUGAAAGUUUGCGGCUCAACCGUAAAAUUGCAGUUGAAACUGGCAGUCUUGAGUACAGUAGAGGUGGGCGGAAUGCGUGGUGUAGCGGUGAAAUGCUUAGAUAUCACGAAGAACGCCGAUUGCGAAGGCAGUUCACUGGACUGCAACUGACACUGAGGCUCGAAAGUGUGGGUAUCAAACAGGAUUAGAUACCCCUGUAGUC
rnacentral:rRNA from 1 species